UAAAACAAGCCUUGCAAUUCCUUAGCUAUCCCAAUCAUCUUCCAUGUUUGAAGGUCCUGGAUGAAAUAAAACUCAGUAAAGAUUAUCAAACAACAGUUCAAAUCAUGUAUCAGUUAACUAGCAGAUAUUAGAUUAAAUAUAAAACUGGGCACACAAAGAACAUUUUGAAGAAUGAUGGUGGAAUUAAAUUUCACUGUCCCAAUGUGUGUGACUGUAGCUAGUUUAUCAUUAGCUGUAGGGAAUUUGUGGUUUUGAGACUGAAGGAAUGCUAAUAGCUGCUAGCAUUGCUCCUAAGUGAAAGGCAAACUAGGAACUAAGUUGAUUUCUCCAAUCAUAGAUGCUUGAUGAGCAGUUUUAUUCUACUGCUGCUUAGGUUUGUGCAACCUAUCCCUAGGGGAUAUCCAUGUACCUGACAGCAGGUCUUCACAAUGUGAUUCUGGAAACCACAUUUGUACACCCUCCUCGUUUCUGCAUGAGACUUGUUUGUUAUUUAGGUUCUGUGCAUUCUACUGUACUGACGUGUUGUAUCUAUUAGAUUUUGUCACAAUGGCUACUGACUUAACAGAGUUGUGCAUGCUGGUUGUGAGCUCCUUAUGGGAUUCUUCUUGUAAAAUCAAAUUGAACACAUUAUCCAGAGAAGGCAAAAGAUCCCUCAGCAACACUUGGAUUCUAAUAUUUGAAUAACAUUCAUCUAGUCCCAUUAGAAAUUGUAGAACGCAUCUCUUCUAGUGUUUCUAAUUGAUCCCAUGUAAUGCUCCACAAUUUGGUGUUGAGCGUGUAGUGUGUAUCAUACAUCUGUAUCUAAUCCCAUAGGAUUUUGAGCCUUGAAAAAUAAACACUUAAUGGUGCUUGAUCCCGUCUAGUAGAUGAAAGUUGCUGCUCACGCAUAUAUACCCUUGUAUUGCUUGAUCUAGCAAAUCUUUUUUAAGUUCAUUCCAAACUUGAUAUGCUGAAUCAAAGAACAAAAUAGAUCCUGCAAUCACCGUAGAAAUGCUGUUUGAAAUUCAGGAUAAGAUCAUAUGCUUGCAUCUUUGCCAAGGAUAAUACAAAGGGUCAUUGACCGCAGGUUUUGCAAUUGUGCCAUCUAUGAAACCCAAUUUAUUUUUGGCUGAAAGUGCAACAUACAUUGCCCUGCUCCAGGAGUGAUAAUUGUGAGAAGUAAGAAGUUAGGAAACAAGAGUAAGACCUAGACUCUCUCCGUGGUGCAGAAAAUAUAAAUUGCUUGAUUCAUCAGUGAUGCCAUUUUGGGUGUUUCGUCGAUUGUUGACAUUUUUCUAUGAGGGUUCUAAUGUAGAAGAAUCCAUGAUAGAGAAGUAGAAUAGGGAUCACCUUCAUAGAACAGAGAUCACCUUGGCAACAAGAGGGCGCUCGGAUCGGAGCGCUCAUCUUCUCUUCUCCGCGGCUGGCUGUAGAUGGCGACGGGAGCGACAGUAGCGGACGCAGCAACGGCAUGCGGUGAUGGCAACGACACGCAGCGGUGGAGCACUCGUCUCCUCUUCUCUCUGCUGGAUCUAGCGGCGGAUCUUCUCUCUUGCUCGCGUCCGGAGACAGGGUUGCAGGCGCUUCUCUCUACCGAAUCUAGCGGCAGAUCUUCUCUCUUGCUCGUGUCUAGGGACAGGGACACAGGAACUCAAGGAAGUCCUUUCUCAAUCUCACGCAUGGCGGCAGUCGAGCAUUUGGGAUGCUUUCCUCUUCCUUCCAUGCUAGAACCUCCAAACACGAUGAAGAAGGGCAACAGGAGCGAUGGGAGAAGAUGAUGGCUGGAAAGGGGAAGGGAAGCUUUCUUAGAGAUGACACCCUCUGAUCCCCCACGUGAAGAGAGAACCGUACUUAAGCCCCCUUGCGAGAAGAGAG
rnacentral:lncRNA from 1 species